CAAAAAGAUAGAAUCUGGUUUCUGUAUUAUGUCAUUGUGUACCAUACUACCUUUGGAUCUCUGAUAUGAGCUUUACUUUGGAAAGAAUGAUUUUCUAUGCUUAAUAAUUAUUGUUUUGUUGUUGAUGACUGCAGUUGAGCCUAAUCCUAACAAAUUAAUAACACUUAUAAUAGGUGGAGUUUCCCAAGAAGCAGACUGAAAUGGAGAGUGGCAUGCAGAAGUAUAUUGGAGAUACUUUUGGAAUCCAAAGUUGUGGAAGGAAGGAUACAGGAUUGGGCAGAGGGAGAAGAUGAGCUGUGAUGUAGUCACAAUAAGGCCUCUCAGAUGACCCCAAGAAGAAAACUGAUGCUGGCAUGGCCAUUGAUAGUUGCCCAGAUUAUCCACAUUCAAUAUGGGCAGCCUCCAGGGAAGGAAGUGUGAUUGUGGUUGAUGUGCAUAUCUAUAGUCAAAGCCAAAGAGGGAGGACAGCUAGGUCUGCCAACCAUUUCACAGGAUCAGAAUAAAUGAUUUCACAGCAACUCUAACUUCCUUCAAAGACUGACAAUUGUGAAUCCUUACAAAAUCCUGGAGUCCUGUGGAGGGCUCAGCUGUCUUGACAAGGAAACAAGAGUCAGACGGUUUAAUGAGACCAACCCUCUCAUCUUCCAGAUAUGUAGCACUGUGUGGUGCAGUCCUGUUAAGCCACUGGUUUCCCAUGUCUACCAGUUCCUGAUACAGAACAUUUUUUACAAUUUUUUCUUCACCUUGAUAUUAUUUCAUCUUGUAAUGUAUAUUCUCCAGUAGUGGUCACACAAUAGAAAUGCAAAUUAAAACUAUACUGAGAUUUCAUCUCAAUCAGUAUGGCAAUGAUCAAGAAUAUAAACAACAAUAAAUAUUGGUGAGGAUAUGGGGGAAAGGGUACACUCAUACAUUGCUUGUGAGGCUGCAAAUUGGUGCAACCACUAUGUAAAGCAGUAUGGAGAUUCCUCAAAAAACUAGAAAUGGAACCACCCUUUGACCCAGUUAUACCACUCCUAGCUAUAUACUCAAGGGAGUUAAAAUCAGCGUACUAUAGUGAUGCAGCCAUAUCAAUGUUUAUAGCAGCUCAACUCAUAAUAGCUAAGCUAUGGAACCAAUCUAGGUGCCCUUCAACAGACAAAUGGAUAAAGAAAAUGUGGUAUAUAUACACAAUGAAAUAUAUAAAAAAGAAUGACUUUAUGCUUUUUCCUGGUAAAUGGGUGGUUCUGGAGACUAUCAUGCUAAGUGAAAUAAGCCAACCCACCAAAAGCCAAAGGUCAAAUGUUCUCUUUUUAUGUGGAUGCUAACACACAAGGGGCGGGGAGGGGUUGGCAGGAGAGGAAGAAUAGAAAUUCAGUAGAUUAGAUAAAGGGAAAUGAAGAGAAGGGAGGAGGUGUAAGAAUAGGGAAGAUAGUAGAAUGAGUCAGACAUAACUUUCCUAUGUUUAUAUAUGAAUACACCACCAGUGGAACUCCACAUCAUGUAUAAUCACAAGAAUGGGAUCCUAAUUAGAAUAAGUCAUAUCCAUGUACGUAUAAUAUGUCAAAAUACACUUUACUGUCUUGUGUAUCUAAAAAGAACAAAUAAAGAAAUUUAAAAAAUCAAACAGAAUCUCUCAUUUUAGUAAUUUCUACAUUAUGUGCACCACCUUCUCAAUAUAGAAAAUGAGAAAACUUACAUAGAUUCUUUUAAAGAAAAUAUAAACUUGUGUCAUAUAUUCCACAGUCAGGUAAGACUCAGAUUCUUCUAACUGCAGUGUAAGGAAAUGGCCACAGGUAGCAGGACUGUUCUUCAUAUGCAGAAAAGGGACUUCUGGCAUGCUAUCCUAAACAUCAUCAGUGCUAAAG
rnacentral:lncRNA from 1 species